UACGAAGGGGGCUAGCGUUGCUCGGAAUCACUGGGCGUAAAGGGUGCGUAGGUGGCAUGGAAAGUUUGAUGUGAAAGCUCAGGGCUUAACCCUGAAAUGGCAUUGAAUACUGCCGUGCUGGAGGUUUGGAGGGGGGACUGGAAUUCUUGGUGUAGCAGUGAAAUGCGUAGAUAUCAAGAGGAACACCAGUGGCGAAGGCGAGUCCCUGGACAACACCUGACACUGAGGCACGAAAGCUAGGGGAGCAAACAGG
rnacentral:rRNA from 1 species